CAAACAGGAUUACAUNCUCUGGUAGUCCGCGCGGUCANUAGGUCCCAUAGGUGUCCGCUCAUGAGAGUGGGGCGAAAGCAACGNGAUAAGUGUACCGCCUGGGGAGUAUGCCCGCAAGGAGAGAAACUCAAAGGAAUUGACGAGGCCCGCACAAGCGGGUGGAGCAUGUGGUUUAAUUCGAUGGUACGCGAGGAACCUUACCUGGGUUUGACAUACACAGGAAUUAUUUAGAGAUAAGUAAGCGCAGCAAUCCGCCUGUGAACAGGUGCUGCAUGGCUGUCGUCAGCUCGUGCCGAGAGGUGUUGGGUUAAGUCCCGCAACGAGCGCAACCCCUACUUCCAGUUAAUAGCAGGUAAUGAUGAGGACUCUGGGGGGAACUGCCGGUGACAAACCGGAGGAAGGGUGGGGAGGACGUCAAGUCAUCAUGGCCCUUAUGUCCAGGGCUACACACGUGCUACAAUGGCAGGUACAGAGUGAUGCGAAGGGGUGACCUGGAGCGAAACGCAGAAAGCCUGCCUCAGUCCGGAUAGGAGUUUGAAACCCGACUCCUUGAAGUUGGAAUCGCUAGUAAUCGCACAUCAGCACGGUGCGGUGAAUACGUUCCCGGGCCUUGUACACACCGCCCGUCACACCAUCCGAGUGGGGGGUACCCGAAGUCGUGAGUCUAACCGUAAGGAGGACCAUGCCGAAGGUACGUUCCGUGAGGAGGGUGAAGUCGUAACA
rnacentral:rRNA from 1 species